UGGAGCUGAUUAUAGGUGGGUUUUCAUUUAUUCACAUUUCCACUGGAGAUUCAGGAUUUUCUUGGGUUUAGUGCUGUCUGGGAAUUCAUUUUCAGGUUGGGACAAUCUAUGUAAAUGGAGAGAGAGAUUGGUGAGGUAAUUGUUAAAGGCUAUGGAGAAAGUAGGCAAGGAAGGUGUCAUCACUAUUAAGUAAGUGCUUGUAUUUGUUUUCUUAACACUAUUAACAUUGCUAAAAGGAACAAUGCAAAUGAAUUUCUUAAUGUUGUAGGUCCUUGCUUCUAUUCUAGGAUGGAAAGACAUUAUUAAAUGAGCUGGAAGUUGUGGAGCGGAUGAAGCUAGAUAGGGGAUACAUCUCUCCAUAUUUCAUUAUUACAAACCAGAAGAACAUACAUAAAUGUGUAAGUUUUCAUAAUCUGAUGGCUGGUAUACUAUUGCAAUUAUUAUUUACAUGCAAAGCGUAAUUCUUCAUACAUACUUGCUUACGACUCUAUUGUGAAAAUCUCAAGCAUAAAUGCUAUUGUGAAAAUCUUGGAGUUGGCUUUGAAG